UCUAACCUGGUCAUCAGCUGACCAGUUGCUGUUAAACUUCAAUUGCUGGCUGGCUUUUUUCUGGUUUAAUAUGGUCCUCUAAUUAUUUUUUUCAUUUAAUUUUUUUUUUUUUUUACAUUUUAAUUAAUAAUAUAUUGAUUUAUUGAGUAUUUGUCACUUUUCUUGUCUGGUAUGAAAAAUGACACUUUAAUUUGGUUUCUAAAAGGCAUUUUCCCAGUGGCCUGCUCCGAGUACAGUUGUGCGUUCUUUACGCACGGGUUCGCUUUGGUCUCCCUUUUACGUCUCCUUUAAGAAGUCCAAAUGCCCUCUUCUACUCCUCCUCCUCCUCCCUCUCUGCGCUCCUCACAUCUCAUAGAGGUGUUAUUGCAUUAAGAAUAAACCAGCCAAACGAUCAAAGACCCGAAUGGAGUUUGCUUUUUCACCUUUUGGCUACAAAUCUUCGACUGGAAAUAGAAAAACAAGGCAGACGUCAGAAGCGCACUCUGGUUGUUUCGGCGCGUCGAGAACUGGAAUUCUAACUUACUGAUAUCCAGCUUUGCGUUUGUUGCGAAAGCUGACCAGGAGUGUUUGGGUGGAUUACAAUGUUAUUGUUCAGCACGGGCACUUGAGUUGGGUGUUCGGGAGAGUUUUGAAUGCGGUGUGGGGCUCCCCGGGCUCGCGGCACUAAGAUCUGGACGCGUUGAGAACAGGGAGUCGGUGACACGGAGUCCUCAUGGCGCAACGGUACGAGGAUCUGGUCCAUUACGGCAUGGAUGCGGUCGGGAUCCCGUCUCCGAUGUACGGGGAUCCUCACGCGGCCAGAGCGAUGCAGGCGGUUCAUGUGAGUCACGGCCCGCCGCUUCACCAGUACCCGCACCCGCACCCCGCAGCUCCCGGGGUCCAGUCGCCCGUUAACGACGCACUAAAACGGGACAAAGACGCCAUUUACGGGCACCCCCUCUUCCCUCUGCUUGCACUAGUUUUCGAAAAAUGUGAAUUAGCGACUUGUACGCCGAGAGAGAGCGGGGUGACCGGCGACGUCUGCUCGUCUGAGUCAUUUGACGAAGAUAUUACAGUAUUUUCAAAACAGAUAAGGGCGGAAAAACCUUUCUUCUCGUCGAAUCCAGACUUGGAUAAUUUGAUGAUUCAAGCCAUACAAGUGUUACGAUUUCAUCUGCUCGAAUUAGAGAAGGUGCAUGAGCUGUGUGACAAUUUCUGUCACCGCUACAUCAGCUGUCUGAAGGGAAAGAUGCCCAUUGAUCUGGUGGUGGAUGAUAAAGAGGGGGGAUCCAGAUCUGACGGGGAGGAAUUUACACGCACCCCGGGAGGGACAGACCAGGUGUUCUGGAGGGAGGACGACGCGGCAUCUGUUCAUUCUUCUGAAGCUCCAGCGGCCUGCAGCAGACGGCCCGGCUCACACAAUGGAGACAACAGCAGCGAGCACGGUGACUUUCUGGAUCAGAGUGUCGCCUCUCCAAGCACAGGAGAAGAGGAAGACCCUGAUAAAGAGAGGAAGAACAACAAGAAAAGAGGCAUUUUCCCCAAAGUGGCAACCAACAUCAUGAGGGCAUGGCUGUUCCAGCACCUCACGCACCCGUACCCCUCUGAGGAGCAGAAGAGGCAGCUGUCCCAGGACACUGGACUGACCAUCCUGCAGGUCAACAACUGGUUUAUCAAUGCCAGGAGAAGGAUCGUCCAACCGAUGAUCGACCAGUCCAACCGCGCAGUAGGUCACAGUGGCCCUUACACUCCCGAUGGUCAGCCAAUGGGAGGUUUUGUAAUGGACGGACAGUCGCACAUGGGCAUCAGACCACCAGCAGCUCUGGGUGGUCUUGGGGGAGUGAAUAUGGGGCUGGAGAGUCAGUGGCACUACAUGUAAACAAACCCCUGCCAUCCCGCUGAACACAGCAGACGAGAGGUACGCUUCUGCACGAGGGAUUCCCCUGUAUGAGAACAACCCAGCUAAUAGCCGCUUUUUGGUGAGAGGAUCGAUCCUUUGCUCACAUACCGGGAGUUUUCGGACAGAUUCGGAAAUUGGAUUUUAACUUGCACCACAAUAAACGGCCUUUAUUCAACGGUACAGAUACCUUAAAGAAACCCCUACAGCUUUACUCUCGGAACAGGGCGCCGUCCUCGUGACACAGGUGGAUUCAAGAUGGCCGCCGGGACUCGUGUUCCCUGUGAUGGCCAGAUCAACUGUAUCAGUAAAGAGAGAAAACAAUUUAGAAAAAAGAAAUGCCUCAACACCUGGAUCUACUCGCUCUGGGCCGGGAGAUUCUUUCACAUGACCUCUUACCUGGAACCAGGUGAAUCUUCAAGUGGCCUGAAAGGUCAAAACAAAGUCUCGUGUUUCAACUCAAGUGCCACCUGAAAUGAAGAGUCAUUAUUCUGCAGACAAAAGUCCGGGAGCGAUAGACAUCUACGUCACGCCACCAGAUGCCUACGUCACACUUCGCGGGCGUCUAUUACGGAACUUUGCGAUCUAAUCUGUGCAAAGCAAUUCAAUACAAAGCUGUAUAUAAUGCUGCUGGAUGUGUCAAACAUGACACAGAAAAGGUUCAUAAACGCAGAUGAAUGCAACCGAAGGUUUCUCAUACACCAUUUACUGCAGUAUAAAUGCGCUCAGAUGCAUCUGGACAGUCGAUGAGAUUUUGAAAGGUACUAAUGAUUGUUCUGGAUUUGACUGACGUGAGCUGAGCUGUAUAUUCACACUAUGUGUGUGUGUUUGUGUGUGUGUGUGUGUUUGGUUGGUUUUCAGUGAGUGUGGGUUUAUUCACAUAAAAAUUCAUACCUCAA